rnacentral:ncRNA from 1 species
GAAUGUAGAGGAUGCGAUGAUUAUUAGUACUGUAUCUGAUGAGGCUGGCUCAGAUGAUGAUUCAGGAAAGGAUGAUUCGCCGAAGCAGUGGUCUUCCAGAACGAUCAUGAGCUGGGACAUGGAUUAAUAGUUCAUGGACUGUCAUCCUUGAGUUUAGGAUGGAGUGCUACGGUA